UACGUAGGGUGCGAGCGUUGUCCGGAAUUAUUGGGCGUAAAGAGCUCGUAGGCGGUUUGUCGCGUCGACUGUGAAAACCUACAGCUUAACUGUGGGCUUGCAGUCGAUACGGGCAGACUUGAGUUCGGUAGGGGAGACUGGAAUUCCUGGUGUAGCGGUGAAAUGCGCAGAUAUCAGGAGGAACACCGGUGGCGAAGGCGGGUCUCUGGGCCGAUACUGACGCUGAGGAGCGAAAGCGUGGGUAGCAAACAGG
rnacentral:rRNA from 1 species